rnacentral:sRNA from 1 species
UUGCAGCCCGACUCAAGCGGAAAUCCUUUUUGUUGGUUGAGCUUGUCGAAACCAACAAAAAAGAUUGGGAGCGGAAGGCAUAAAUGAGA